rnacentral:rRNA from 1 species
CUUGCUACCUGACCUAGCGGCGGACGGGUGAGUAAUGCUUAGGAAUCUGCCUAUUAGUGGGGGACAACAUUCCGAAAGGAAUGCUAAUACCGCAUACGCCCUACGGGGGAAAGCAGGGGAUCUUCGGACCUUGCGCUAAUAGAUGAGCCUAAGUCAGAUUAGCUAGUUGGUGGGGUAAAGGCCUACCAAGGCGACGAUCUGUAGCGGGUCUGAGAGGAUGAUCCGCCACACUGGGACUGAGACACGGCCCAGACUCCUACGGGAGGCAGCAGUGGGGAAUAUUGGACAAUGGGCGAAAGCCUGAUCCAGCCAUGCCGCGUGUGUGAAGAAGGCCUUUUGGUUGUAAAGCACUUUAAGCGAGGAGGAGGCUACUGAGAUUAAUACUCUAGGAUAGUGGACGUUACUCGCAGAAUAAGCACCGGCUAACUCUGUGCCAGCAGCCGCGGUAAUACAGAGGGUGCGAGCGUUAAUCGGAUUUACUGGGCGUAAAGCGUGCGUAGGCGGCUUUUUAAGUCGGAUGUGAAAUCCCUGAGCUUAACUUAGGAAUUGCAUUCGAUACUGGGAAGCUAGAGUAUGGGAGAGGAUGGUAGAAUUCCAGGUGUAGCGGUGAAAUGCGUAGAGAUCUGGAGGAAUACCGAUGGCGAAGGCAGCCAUCUGGCCUAAUACUGACGCUGAGGUACGAAAGCAUGGGGAGCAAACAGGAUUAG